AUUUCUCUGCUGUGUUCGUCAGGGGGUAUGUAAUAUUAAACCAAUACAAUAUUACAGGGGAUUGUUGUCUAUCUGGCCCGUGGGCCAAUAGCUUUUCCCCACCUGUUUAUCAGGUUUGAUACGCUACUUCCAACGGCAUAAGCGGAGGCUUA
rnacentral:other from 1 species